AUGAACAUUCGUGCUGUUUUCAGUCCAAAUAAAGCCGCCGGGAACAUUGCACGUUCACAUCCCUGGAAUCCUUCUACAAAAGAGUAAAGUUAAAAACCAGGGCCCUGGCAAGAAGUACUGACAUACAAUGUUCCUGAAAGCAGAUAUAUAAAGCUUAUCUCACCUCUCAGAGGUA